UUACCAGCAUAAGUGGUCCAACAGUUAUACUUGGUCAUGAAUUUGGACACAAUAUGGGAUUUAGUCAUGAUGAAGGAACCUGCAAGUGUUUAACAAGUAGAGGAUGUUUUAUGGGUGGAGCAAAGUCAAGCAGACCAGGUUUCUCAGACUGCAGUAUGGAAGUGUUUAAAAGUAAUGAAUAUUCUUGUCUUACA
rnacentral:lncRNA from 1 species